rnacentral:lncRNA from 1 species
UUACAAACCCUUACUUCUGCUGAGACUCUUGGGUUUGGUCCAGUCGAAUUGAGGGGACUCAAACUGGAACUGCGGUGGGUGGCUUCUAAUAUUGCUGUGGAUGAAGGCACACUCUACACAUAACUGAAGGCCUGCAUUUUUAGAAGGACUGAAGGACAAAGAGUUUAAGAUAACAUCUCUACUCCUGUGAUGUUACUCCUCCCUAACCUUGACUGUGCAGCAUUGAAGGCAAGAUAAAAACUUCAUGGCAUGAAAGGAAAGAAAGCUUAUUGUCCCAACAGUGGCCUGGGACUGAAAUUGCCAACUGAACAACUGUGGACAAGUCAUCUCAUUUUCACUUUGCCUGUUUCCUCCUUUUGAAAAGGCUUUGAAACAAGACCCCGGUGUCACAAAAUAUUUAAGGGUAAGAAGUAACAUGUUAUCACACAUUAAUAUAAAAGCAGGUUGUGUGGUUUUGUCUGCAUUUAAUUUAAUACACA